AGGAGACAGGCUAUAUUUUAGGAGACGUUCCUCAUGGUUCCAGAAGAGUUGCCUGGAUAGGAGAUGAGUCUGUUUUAGCAGAGUCAGGUUCUGGGCAGGACUGAUGGAACACAGAUUAUAGAUACUUUCCAUGGUGCAGAUUUCAAAGUGGAGUGGAUGGACAAUAAAUCACCAAGCAUUGCAACUCUGCAAGAGCCCAGGCAAUGAGAGAUCAGUAACAAAACCAGAAGACAGGUGCUCAGGUGCCUUGCUCUCAGAAAACUUCUUGCAAUAACUGAGUUUUGGGGUUUUGUGAAUAUUUUAUGAUGGAUGCUGAUGAAUGGAAAAUAUUAGAGAAAACACACCAAGCCGCCAAGCAAGAGGACAUGGAGAAAUGGAG
rnacentral:lncRNA from 1 species